GCAGUUUCCAGUGGCCAGGGGUACGCGCGGCCGGAGGGGCGCCGGGGCCGUACUCACCGCGGCCGUUCUGGUUGGGCCGGUACACGCUGCCCACGCUGAGGCGGCCCUGCUGCGCGCCGUUCCGCUCCCCACCCGGCGGGGGCGUGUCGGAGCUGCGCACCGGCAGGAGCUCCUGCCUGCCUGGAUGAAGAGGAGGUCAAGACUUUGUCCCCCACUCCGCAAGAUACCCUCUCUGUUCCGGAGCGGUGGGUCCCUCCCCUGUUAGGACCUUGUCUCCCUCAGGACUGGACCUGGAUCCUGGGCCUGCAGUCAGAUUGCCAGUUUCACUUAGAGGUGGAAAUGUCAACCCACUGGUUGGAAUGGGAAGAGACUGGGUCCCACCAUAUUGCCUGGGCUGGCCUCGGACUCUUGACCCCAAGUGAUCCUCUGGCCUCAGCCUCCCAAGCAGCUGGAUUUACAGGCAGGCACCACCGCACCGAGCUAAAAAUCAGCCUCAUUUGUUCUUUUCCCAGAAGACUGGUUUUGUCUAAGACAGAAAAUAUGACCACUGACAGCUUCUGAGUGU
ensembl:lncRNA LOXL1-AS1 LOXL1 antisense RNA 1